UACGGGGGGAGCAAGCGUUGUUCGGAUUUACUGGGCGUAAAGGGCGCGUAGGCGGUCAGCACAAGUCAAUUGUGAAAUCUCCGAGCUUAACUCGGAAAGGUCAACUGAAACUGUGCGACUAGAGUGCAGAAGGGGCAACUGGAAUUCUCGGUGUAGCGGUGAAAUGCGUAGAUAUCGAGAGGAACACCUGCGGCGAAGGCGGGUUGCUGGGCUGACACUGACGCUGAGGCGCGAAAGCUAGGGGAGCGAACGGG
rnacentral:rRNA from 1 species